rnacentral:rRNA from 1 species
CAGCAGCCACGGUAAUACGUAGGUGGCAAGCGUUGUCCGGAAUUAUUGGGCGUAAAGGGCUCGCAGGCGGUUUCUUAAGUCUGAUGUGAAAGCCCCCGGCUCAACCGGGGAGGGUCAUUGGAAACUGGGAAACUUGAGUGCAGAAGAGGAGAGUGGAAUUCCACGUGUAGCGGUGAAAUGCGUAGAGAUGUGGAGGAACACCAGUGGCGAAGGCGACUCUCUGGUCUGUAACUGACGCUGAGGGGCGAAAGCGUGGGGAGCGAACAGGAUUAGAUACCCCGGUAGUCCCUGUCUCUUAUAC